rnacentral:rRNA from 1 species
CCAGACUCCUACGGGGGGCAGCAGUGGGGAAUAUUGGACAAUGGGGGCAACCCUGAUCCAGCAAUGCCGCGUGGAUGAAGAAGGUCUUCGGAUUGUAAAGUCCUUUCGACGGGGACGAUGAUGACGGUACCCGUAGAAGAAGCCCCGGCUAACUUCGUGCCAGCAGCCGCGGUAAUACGAAGGGGGCUAGCGUUGCUCGGAAUGACCGGGCGUAAAGGGCGCGUAGGCGGUUUGAUUAGUUAGGCGUGAAAUUCCCGGGCUCAACCUGGGAACUGCGUUUAAUACAGUCAGACUUGAGUUCGGAAGAGGGUCGUGGAAUUCCCAGUGUAGAGGUGAAAUUCGUAGAUAUUGGGAAGAACACCGGUGGCGAAGGCGGCGACCUGGUCCGAUACUGACGCUGAGGCGCGAAAGCGUGGGGAGCAAACAGGAUUAGAUACCCUGGUAGUCCACGCUGUAAACGAUGUGUGCUGGAUGUUGGGUGACCUAGUCACUCAGUGUCGUAGCUAACGCGAUAAGCACACCGCCUGGGGAGUACGGCCGCAAGGUG